ensembl:lncRNA
GGGGGAGAAAGAAACAAAGGAUAUAUGAGACAAAUAGAAAAAAACUGCAAGACGGUAUAUUUAUUCUUAAUUAUAUCAAUAAUUACAUUAAAUGUAAAUGAUCUACACAUUCAAAUUAAAAGGCAGAGAUUAUCAGAUUGGAUACAAAUACAAGAUCCAACUUUAUGCUGUCUAUAAGAAACACUCUUUAAAUAUAAUGGCAUUGAGCAACUAAAUGUAGAAAGAUAGAAAAUUAUAUACCAUGUUAACAUUAAUCAAAAGAAAACUGGAGUAGCUAAAUAGGCCUCAGAAAGUAGACUUCAGAGCAAGGAAAAUUACUAGAAAUCAAGAGAAUAUUUCAUAAUGAUAAGUGGGUGACUUCAUCAUAAGGAUGUAACAAUCCUAGUAAAUGCCAACCCUCUAUCUAUAAACUAAAUCUCAUCCCCCAUGAACUUACUCAAGGACAACACUUAAACAAACUUUUCCUCUCCUGUAGCACCAAUUUUUCUUCUUUAUUGGAACUUUUGCAUCAGGAUAUAAAGGAGCCAUUAUUUCUUCUAUUUAAAAACAAAUACGUCCUCUCUUGACCCCAGAUCUUCCUCCAGCUAAUGCUCAACUCCCUUUUCUCUUCAUAUAAAAUUUCUAUUAAAGGUUGUUUAUAUUCGCUCUUCCUAAAUUCUUACCUCCCAUUUACUCUUCAAUCCACUCCAAUCAGACUUUUACUGACAAGUGUACUAAAACUUUUUUUUCAAGGUCAACAAUGAUCUUCACCUCCUUAAAUCCAAUAGUCAAUUCUCAAGCCUUACUUACUUGAUCUAACAAUAGAAUUUGACACAAGUGAUCGCUCCCUACUCCUUCAUAAGCUUUCUUUUCUUGGCUUCCAAGACUCCACCCUCUCCUGGUUUUCUGCCUGCCUCCUUCUCACUUCCCUUUCUCUCAUAUAUGACAGCCAAUCUGCGGCAAUAUCUGUCAGUUCCACUUCCAAAAUACAGCCAGAAGCCAAGCACAUCUUACCUUCUCCACUGUUACCACCUGGUUCAAGCCACAAUUACCUCUCACCUAAAUUAUUGCAAUAGCAUCUUACUGAUCUGACUCCACCCAUGACCGCUUUCCAUCUAUUUCUAACACCAGCAGCCAAAAUUAUUAUUUCAAAAUGUAAGUUAUUUCAUUCCCCCUUUUACUCAAAGCUCACCACUAGCUCCCCAUAUCACUUAGAGUAAAAGCCAUGAAAUCACCUGCACUUAAAAAUUUCUAUCUCAGGCUUUGCUUCUAGAGAACAAGCAACAUAGGAAAAGCCAGGUGAUAUCUGUAAGGGACCAAAAGAAAAAAGCUGUCAGUGUAGAAUUAUAUACUAGAAUAAGGAGAUAUUAAGAAGAGAAGAGGGGGUCUCAUCAGCAUCAUACUAGCAUAAGACAUCCCUCCAUUUUUGUCUCACCCCUCAACAAUAAAAUUCAGUAUCCACCCACAGACAAAAGUACCUUGAGGGAGCUGUGGGAUCCAGCACCACACGCCAAGGAACCCAGGAGGAGUAUUGCCCAACUGUGGGCAGACAGACCUCGGUCCCAGCUGUGGCCUUGUGGUGGCCUGUGAACUGGCUCCUCUUGGUCAUGAUCUGAGAGCCCCUGGUGAACUCUGACUUAAGACACUCACUCACAGAUAAAAAAGAGUGGCUUUGUGGAAAUUCAGGUUUCUGGAGGAGAAGUCCUUGCAUGGCAUUGGAGCAAAAAAAUGCAAGUGUGGAUGCAUUGGAGAUGGUAAGAAGAACAAUUUGGAUUUAUCUGACAUCAUCCUUCCCCCAGGGCUGCACGGUUAGGGCCCAGAAAGAUCUUCCUUGGCUCCUGAUUU